GAACUUAAGCAUAUCCAUUAGCGGAGGAAAAGAAACCCACCGGGUUUCCUCAGUAACGGCGAGUGAAGCGGUAACCGCUUAAAUUUGAAAUCUGGUUCCCUCCGGGCCCGAGUUGUAAUUUGUUGGAGAUGCUUCGAGCGGGGCACCGGUUUAAGUUCCUUGGAACCGGACGUUAUUGAGGGUGAGGAUUCCGUAUGCGGCUGGGCCGCCUUUGUUCAUGUGAAGCUCUUUCGACGAGUCGAGUUGUUUGGGAAUGCAGCUCAAAAUGGGUGGUAUAUUUCAUCUAAAGCUAAAUAUUGGCCAGAGACCGAUAGCGCACAAGUAGAGUGAUCGAAAGAUGAAAAGCACUUUGGAAAGAGAGUUAAACAGUACGUGAAAUUGUUGAAAGGGAAGCGCUUGCAACCAGACUUGCACGCUGCCGAUCAUCUGGGGUUCUCUCCAGUGCACUCGGUAACGUUCAGGCCAGCAUCGGUUUGGGUGGCUGGAUAAAGGCCUUGGGAACGUAGCUCCUCUCGGGGAGUGUUAUAGCCCUCGGUGCAAUGCAGCCUACCCGGACCGAGGACCGCGCUUCGGCUAGGAUGCUGGCGUAAUGGUUGUAAGCGACCCGUCUUGAAACACGGACCAAGGAGUCUAACAUCUAUGCGAGUGUUUGGGUGUCAAACCCAUACGCGUAAUUAACGUGAACGGAGGUAAGAACCCUUAAGGGUGCAUUAUCGACCGAUCCUGAUGUCUUCGGAUGGAUUUGAGUAAGAGCAUAGCUGUUGGGACCCGAAAGAUGGUGAACUAUGCCUGAAUAGGGUGAAGCCAGAGGAAACUCUGGUGGAGGCUCGCAGCGGUUCUGACGUGCAAAUCGAUCGUCAAAUUUGGGUAUAGGGGCGAAAGACUAA
rnacentral:rRNA from 1 species